AUAAGAUACUGCAUAUAUUUGUAAGAACGAAAGUUGGCUGUAGAAUAAUGUUAAGAAUAGCCGUUAUAUUCGUGUUAUUACCAACAACUUGGGCAGCUACCAUACAUUUGUAUGUUAGUCCACAGGGUUCAGAUACCAACACCGGGUUAGACCCUUCCACGCCACUAAAAACACUACAAAGAGCACGGGAUAGAAUUGAUGAACCUGAAAUCCUGGGAAACGAGAUAUACGUAGAGCUGAUGUCUGGAUAUCACGAUUUACUGAUACCCUUGAAUCUCACCCAUGGUUAUACAGCAUUGGUUACAUUCAGGUCGUAUCAGCACGAAGAAGUGCAUGUGACUGGUGGUAAAAGAAUAACACCCAGUCUUUUUCAACCAGUAACAGAUCCUGUCAUUCUUAAAAGAAUCCCAGAAGAAGCCCAUGAAAAGGU